rnacentral:rRNA from 1 species
CGUGGGUGACCUACCUUUCAGUGAGGAAUACCGGCGAGAAAUCGCCGACAAUACCGCAUAGGCUUCGCUCUCUCUUGCAAGAGAGCGGGAGAAGCAAAGCUCCCUUUCGGGGGGCGCUGGGAGAUGGGCCCGCGGCCGAUUAGCUGGUUGGUGGGGUAAAAGCCUACCAAGGCCACGAUCGGUAGCUGGUCUGAGAGGACGAUCAGCCACACUGGGAUUGAGAACGGCCCAG